AAAGUUUUGCAAGGUGGUUUUCCCCAGGGUGAGGCUCAUCCAUUGCACUGCGGGUGUGCUGACCCCUGUGAUUUCCCCAAAUGCGGGAAACUCAACUGCAUAAUUUAUGGUAGUGGGAGACUGCGUUCAUGCUUUUCCCUG
rnacentral:snRNA from 1 species